rnacentral:rRNA from 1 species
UGAGGAAUAUUGGUCAAUGGGCGGGAGCCUGAACCAGCCAAGCCGCGUGAGGGAAGAAGGCCCUAUGGGUCGUAAACCUCUUUUGUCAGGGAACAAAAGCGAGUAUGUAUACUAGUCUGAGUGUACCUGAAGAAAAACGCAUCGGCUAACUCCGUGCCAGCAGCCGCGGUAAUACGGAGGAUGCGAGCGUUAUCCGGAUUUAUUGGGUUUAAAGGGUGCGUAGGCGGCGAUGCAAGUCAGCGGUAAAAGCCCGGGGCUCAACCCCGGCGAGCCGUUGAAACUGCAGUGCUAGAGAAGGCGAGAGGUACGCGGAAUGCGCAGUGUAGCGGUGAAAUGCUUAGAUAUUGCGCAGAACUCCGAUUGCGAAGGCAGCGUACUGGCGCCUGACUGACGCUAAGGCACGAAAGCGUGGGGAUCGAACAGGAUUAGAUACC